GACGAACGCUGGCGGCGUGCUUAACACAUGCAAGUCGAGCGGUAAGGCCCUUUCGGGGGUACACGAGCGGCGAACGGGUGAGUAACACGUGGGUGACCUGCCCUUAGCUCUGGGAUAAGCCUGGGAAACUGGGUCUAAUACCGGAUAUGACUCCAUGACGCAUGUUGGUGGGGUGGAAAAGCCUUGUGCGGCUAGGGAUGGGCCCGCGGCCUAUCAGCUUGUUGGUGGGGUGAUGGCCUACCAAGGCGACGACGGGUAGCCGGCCUGAGAGGGCGACCGGCCACACUGGGACUGAGACACGGCCCAGACUCCUACGGGAGGCAGCAGUGGGGAAUCUUGCGCAAUGGGCGAAAGCCUGACGCAGCGACGCCGCGUGGGGAUGACGGCC
rnacentral:rRNA from 1 species